rnacentral:rRNA from 1 species
UGAUCCCUGGCUCAGGAUGAACGCUGGCGGCGUGCUUAACACAUGCAAGUCGAACGAUGACCCGGUGCUUGCACCGGUGAUUAGUGGCGAACGGGUGAGUAACACGUGAGUAACCUGCCCUUAACUCUGGGAUAAGCCUGGGAAACUGGGUCUAAUACCGGAUAUGACUCCUCAUCGCAUGGUGGGGGGUGGAAAGCUUUAUUGUGGUUUUGGAUGGACUCGCGGCCUAUCAGCUUGUUGGUGAGGUAAUGGCUCACCAAGGCGACGACGGGUAGCCGGCCUGAGAGGGUGACCGGCCACACUGGGACUGAGACACGGCCCAGACUCCUACGGGAGGCAGCAGUGGGGAAUAUUGCACAAUGGGCGCAAGCCUGAUGCAGCGACGCCGCGUGAGGGAUGACGGCCUUCGGGUUGUAAACCUCUUUCAGUAGGGAAGAAGCGAAAGUGACGGUACCUGCAGAAGAAGCGCCGGCUAACUA